UACGUAGGGUGCAAGCGUUGUCCGGAAUUAUUGGGCGUAAAGAGCUCGUAGGCGGUUUGUCGCGUCUGCUGUGAAAACCGGAGGCUCAACCUCCGGCCUGCAGUGGGUACGGGCAGACUAGAGUGCGGUAGGGGGAUCUGGAAUUCCUGGUGUAGCGGUGGAAUGCGCAGAUAUCAGGAGGAACACCGGUGGCGAAGGCGGGAUCCUGGGCCAGUACUGACGCUGAGGAGCGAAAGCGUGGGGAGCAAACAGG
rnacentral:rRNA from 1 species